rnacentral:rRNA from 1 species
CGAGCGCAACCCUCAUCCUUAGUUGCCAUCACGUUUGGGUGGGCACUCUAAGGAAACUGCCGGUGGCAAGCCGGAGGAAGGUGGGGAUGACGUCAAGUCAGCAUGGCCUUUAUGUCUGGGGCUACGACACACGCUACAAUGGCCAGUACAAUAGGUUGCAAGACCGCGAGGUGGAGCCAAUCCUUAAAGCUGGUCUCAGUUCGGAUUGCAGGCUGCAACUCGCCUGCAUGAAGUCGGAGUUGCUAGUAACCGCGCGUCAGCCAUAGUGCGGUGAAUACGUUCCCGGGCCUU